UACAGAGGUCUCAAGCGUUGUUCGGAUUCAUUGGGCGUAAAGGGUGCGUAGGCGGCGCGGUAAGUCGGGUGUGAAAUCUGGAGCUUAACUCCGAAACUGCAUUCGAUACUGCCGUGCUUGAGGACUGGAGAGGAGACUGGAAUUUACGGUGUAGCGGUGAAAUGCGUAGAUAUCGUAAGGAAGACCAGUGGCGAAGGCGGGUCUCUGGACCGUAACUGACGCUGAGGCACGAAAGCGUGGUAGCAAACAGG
rnacentral:rRNA from 1 species